UACGUAGGGUGCGAGCGUUAAUCGGAAUUACUGGGCGUAAAGCGUGCGCAGGCGGUUCGUUAUGUCCGAUGUGAAAGCCCCGAGCUUAACUUGGGAAUGGCAUUGGAAACUGGCGGGCUGGAGUGCGGCAGAGGGGGGUGGAAUUCCACGUGUAGCAGUGAAAUGCGUAGAGAUGUGGAGGAACACCGAUGGCGAAGGCAGCCCCCUGGGCCGACACUGACGCUCAGGCACGAAAGUGUGGGGAGCAAACAGG
rnacentral:rRNA from 1 species